rnacentral:rRNA from 1 species
CAGCAGCCGCGGGAAUACGAAGGGGGCUAGCGUUGUUCGGAAUUACUGGGCGUAAAGCGCACGUAGGCGGAUAUUUAAGUCAGGGGUGAAAUCCCGCAGCUCAACUGCGGAACUGCCUUUGAUACUGGGUAUCUUGAGUAUGGAAGAGGUAAGUGGAAUUGCGAGUGUAGAGGUGAAAUUCGUAGAUAUUCGCAGGAGCACCAGUGGCGAAGGCGGCUUACUGGUCCAUUACUGACGCUGAGGUGCGAAAGCGUGGGGAGCAAACAGGAUUAGAUACCCCGGUAGUCCCUGUCUCUUAUAA